rnacentral:rRNA from 1 species
GACGAACGCUGGCGGCGUGCUUAACACAUGCAAGUCGAACGGAAAGGCCCUGCUUUUGUGGGGUGCUCGAGUGGCGAACGGGUGAGUAACACGUGAGUAACCUGCUCUUGACUUUGGGAUAACUUCAGGAAACUGGGGCUACUACCGGAUAGGAUCUCCUGCUGCAUGGUGGGGGUUGGAUAGUUUCGGCGGUUGGGGAUGGACUCGCGGCUUAUCAGCUUGUUGGUGGGGUAGUGGCUUACCAAGGCUUUGACGGGUAGCCGGCCUGAGAGGGUGACCGGCCACAUUGGGACUGAGAUACGGCCCAGACUCCUACGGGAGGCAGCAGUGGGGAAUAUUGCACAAUGGGCGGAAGCCUGAUGCAGCAACGCCGCGUGCGGGAUGACGGCCUUCGGGUUGUAAACCGCUUUCGCCUGUGACGAAGCGUGAGUGACGGUAAUGGGUAAAGAAGCACCGGCUAACUACGUG